rnacentral:rRNA from 1 species
AUUGAACGCUGGCGGCAGGCCUAACACAUGCAAGUCGAACGAGUGGCGGACGGGUGAGUAAUGUCUGGGAAACUGCCUGAUGGAGGGGGAUAACUACUGGAAACGGUAGCUAAUACCGCAUACCAUCGGAUGUGCCCAGAUGGGAUUAGCUAGUUGGUGGGGUAAAGGCUCACCAAGGCGACGAUCCCUAGCUGGUCUGAGAGGAUGACCAGCCACACCUGAACUGGGACACGGUCCAGACUCCUACGGGAGGCAGCAGUGGGGAAUAUGGCACAAUGGGCGCAAGCCUGAUGCAGCCAUGCCGCGUGUAUGAAGAAGGCCUUCGGGUUGUAAAGUUCUUUCAGCGGGGAGGCGUUACCCGCCGAAGAAGCACCGGCUAACUCCGUGCCAGCAGCCGCGGUAAUUC